UCUGGUGAUCAUAGCGAGAGCAAAACACCCGGAUCCAUUCCGAACCCGGCCGUUAAGUGCCUUUGCGCCAAUGGUACUGCGUCUCAAGACGUGGGAGAGUAGGUCAUCGCCAGAC
rnacentral:rRNA from 1 species